rnacentral:rRNA from 1 species
UACGGGGGGGGCAAGCGUUGUUCGGAAUUACUGGGCAUAAAGGGCUCGUAGGCUGCCAACUAAGUCAGACGUGAAAUCCCUCGGCUUAACCGGGGAACUGCGUCUGAUACUGGAUGGCUUGAGAUUGGGAGAGGGAUGCGGAAUUCCAGGUGUAGCGGUGAAAUGCGUAGAUAUCUGGAGGAACACCGGUGGCGAAGGCGGCAUCCUGGACCAACACUGACGCUGAGUGAGCGAAAGCCAGGGGAGCAAACGGG